rnacentral:tmRNA from 1 species
GGGGGCGAUCAGGAUUCGACGCCGGUAUCAAACUCCAAGGUGCAUGUCGAGAGGGUAUAGACUCUCGUAAAUCAAUCUAUGCAACUUCUAUAGUUGCCAACGACGAAAACUACGCACUAGCCGCUUAAGAACUAAGUAAGGCUAGCGGUCGCCCCGGGAUGCCUGUAAACCGGUGUUUUGCGACUGUCAUAUAGAACAGGAUCGCUAGUGGAUCGCGCUCGACGUGAAACGGCUAAAAGUAUCGAGCUCGCCCAAACCACCCUGCCCGUCGGGCCGGUACGGGUUAACUUAAUAGACGACGCUAAACAUGUAGAUCCAAGGACAGAGAACUGACGGACGGGGGUUCAAAUCCCCCCGCCUCCACCA